CCUGUGCUCUAGUUUUUUUUUUGUCUUUAUAUUGUUUUGUUAAAAAAAAUUCAAAGACUCAGGGGAUGGAUCAGCUUUAAUUUUGCAGAUAGAGUGUUGCUUCUAUCAAUGUAAUUGUCUGCAUCAUUUCCAAUCCCCCAUAUAAUGUUUUGGUAAAUAUAUACACUACCGUUCAAAAGUUUGGGGUCACUUAGAAAUGUUCUUGUUUUUGAAAGAAUUAAUCAUAAGGAAUACACCCCCGCCCUUCUUCUUACCAGAGAGAUGUUUGUUUCUGUCAGUGCGAUGCGUGAAGAAACCGGGUUGCUGUACCGACUCUGAUAAGGUAUCCCGAGUGAGCCAUGUUUCCGUUAAACAGAGAAUGUUACAAUCUCUGUCUCUCUGGAAGGCAACCCUUGCUCGAAUUUCGUCUACCUUGUUGUCAAGAGAAUGGACAUUGGCGAGUAGUAUACUCGGGAGCGGUGAGCAAUGUGGCCGUCAACGAAGCCUGACCAGAAGACCGCUCCGUGUGUCUUGCCCCUUCUGCGGCGCCGUUGUUUUGGGUCGCCUACUGGGAUCCAUUCCAUUGUCCUGGGUGGUGGUCUGAACAGAGGAUCCACUUCGGGAAAGUCGUAUUCCUGGUCGUAAUGUUUGUCACAGACGUGCUGAAUGGGAUUGCGAUCCGGGCUCUUCACUGGCCAUGGUAGAACACUGACAUUCAUGUCUUGCAGGAAAUCAUGCACAGAACGAGCAGCGUGGCUGGUGGCAUUGUCAUGCUGGAGGGUCAUGUCAGGAUGAGCCUGCAGGAAGGGUACCACAUGAGGGAGGAGGAUGUCUUCCCUGUAACGCACAGCGUUGAGAUUGCCUGCAUUGACAACAAGCUCAGUCCGAUGAUGCUGUGACACACCGCCCCUGACCAUGACUGACCCUCCACCUCCAAAUCGAUCCCGCUCCAGAGUACAGGCCUUGGUGUAAUGCUCAUUCCUUCGACGAUAAACGCAAAUCCGACAUCACCCCUGAUGAGACAAAACCGCGACUUGUCAGUGAAGAGCACUUUUUGCCAGUCCUGUCUGGUCCAGCAACGGUGGGUUUGUGCCCAUAGGCGACGUUGUUGCCGGUGAUGUCUGGUGAGGACCUGCCUUACAACAGGCCUACAAGCCCUCAGUCCAGCCUCUCUCAGCCUAUUGCGGGCAGUCUGAGCACUGAUGGAAGGAUUGUGCAUUCCUGGUGUAACUCGGGCAUGUGUUGUUGCCAUCCUGUACCUGUCCCGCAGGUGUGAGGUUCGGAUGUACCGAUCCUGUGCAGGUGUUGUUACACGUGGUCUGCCAAUGCGAGGAUGAUCAGCUGUCCGUCCUGUCUCCCUGUAGCACUGUCUUAGGCAUCUCAUAGUCCGGACAAAGCAAUUUAUUGCCGUAGCCACAUCUGCAGUUCUCAUGCCUCCUUGCAGCAUGCCUAAGGCACGUAUACGCAGAUGAGCAGGGACCCUGGGCAUCUUUCUUUUGGUGUUUUUCAGAGUCAGUAGAAAUGCCUCUUUAGUGUCCUAAGUUUUCAUAACUGUGACCUUAAUUGCCUACCGUCUGUAAGCUGUUAGUGUCUUAACGACCGUUCCACCGGUGCAUGUUCAUUAAUUGUUUAUGUUCAUUGAACAAUCAUGGGAAACAGUGUUUAAACCCUUUACAAUAAAGUUCUGUGAAGUUAUUUGAACUUUUACGAAUUAUCUUUGAAAGACAGGGUCCUGAAUAAGGGACAUUUCUUUUUUGCUGAGAUUAUUCUAAAAGUACUUUACCACCUUCAAAAUAUCGUUCUGUGAAUCAUGCGUGACUC
rnacentral:lncRNA from 1 species